AAUGCUGACAUAAGUAACGAUAAAGCGGGUGAAAAGCCCGCUCGCCGGAAGACCAAGGGUUCCUGUCCAACGUUAAUCGGGGCAGGGUGAGUCGACCCCUAAGGCGAGGCCGAAAGGCGUAGUCGAUGGGAAACGGGUUAAUAUUCCCGUACUUGGUGUUACUGCGAAGGGGGGACGGAGAAGGCUAUGUUGGCCGGGCGACGGUUGUCCCGGUUUAAGCGUGUAGGUGUGUGUUCCAGGUAAAUC
rnacentral:rRNA from 1 species